ACAGUUUUGAAUGUGACAGCCAUAUUCUGGAAUAAAGAUUUAGGUCUUAAAAGUCAAAAUGGCGAUACGAGAAAGAAAGGAAACGGUACCAGAAAUACAAUGGACAUGCACCAUCAGAACUGAUUGCCCUAAGAAAUCCUGUUCUGUGUUUUGUCAUUAAGGCACAGUAAACAUGGUACAAUCUCACUGGCAUUUGCUGAAAAAGCGUGGGCAUGAGAAUCUGCAGCGUGCUCCCCACUCCACAGUAACUGACAGUGUACCCAAACUCUGCUAGAUACAGAUCCCAGUUCGUCCAGCCCGACCUGUGCGUCCAGAACGAUGGAUAUAGGACUCCACAUCCUUCAAAAUAAAU